rnacentral:rRNA from 1 species
CUUGGUUCAGGAUGAACGCUGGCGGCAUGCCUAAUACAUGCAAGUCGAACGAAGAAAUGUUGCUUGAAGGUGCUUGCACCGGAUAGUUGCUUUCUUAGUGGCGAACGGGUGAGUAACACGUAGGUAACCUGCCUAGUAGUUGGGAAUAACAAUGGGAAACCGUUGCUAAUACCGAAUAUGAAUUCGAAGGGCAUCCUUUGAAUUUGAAAGGGGCUUUCAAGCCUCGCUAUUAGAUGGACCUGCGGCGCAUUAGCUAGUUGGUGAGAUAACAGCUCACCAAGGCGAGGAUGCGUAGCCGACCUGAGAGGGUGAUCGGCCACAAUGGGACUGAGACACGGCCCAUACUCCUACGGGAGGCAGCAGUAGGGAGUUUUCGGCAAUGGGGGGAACCCCGACCGAGCAAUGCCGCGUGAAGUUAUGAAGGUCUUAUGGAUCGUAAGGCUCUGUUGUAGGGGAUGAAACGUCUAGGGAGGAAAUGUCCUAGACUUGACAGUACCUUACCAGAAAGCCACGGCUAACUACGUGCCAGCCGCCGC